rnacentral:rRNA from 1 species
UACGUAGGGUCCGAGCGUUGUCCGGAAUUAUUGGGCGUAAAGGGCUCGUAGGCGGUCUGUUGCGUCGGGAGUGAAAUCUUACAGCUUAACUGUGAACUUGCUUUCGAUACGGGCAGACUUGAGGUAUUCAGGGGAGAACGGAAUUCCUGGUGUAGCGGUGAAAUGCGCAGAUAUCAGGAGGAACACCGGUGGCGAAGGCGGUUCUCUGGGCCUGUACUGACGCUGAGGAACGAAAGCGUGGGGAGCGAACAGG